ACGGGCGUGUAUAAAAAACGUCUUCGUUUUGAANNNAAGMUUUUUCCGCGGAGAAGARGGCGACGGGGUUAAUCACCCUGUCUAUUGACKUYCCCCGCAAAARARACCCCGGAUAUCUCCGUGCCARCACCCGGSGUAAUACAGGGGGUGCASGCUUUUAUCAMAAUWUCUGGGUAUAAAGCACACACGCGNNUCUUUUAWGUCNAUAUGUGAUAUCCCCGGKCUUCACYKGRAAACUGCAUNUGAAACUGGCAGCUGAGUCUUGUGUAGAGGGGGGGUAGAAUUACAKGUGUAGCGUGAAAUKGCGUAGAGAUCUGGAGGAAUANCCGGUGGCGAAMGGCGGCCCCCUGGACAAAGACUGACGCUCAKGUGCGAAAGCGUGGGGAGCAAACAGGAUUAGAUANCCCUGGUAGUCCACGCYRUAAACGAUGUCGACUUGGAGGUUGUUCCCUUGAGGAGUGGCUUCCGGAGCUAACGCGUUAAGUCGACCGCCUGGGGAGUACGGCCGCAAGGUUAAAACUCAAAUGAAUUGACGGGGGCCCGCACAAGCGGUGGAGCAUGUGGUUUAAUUCGAUGCAACGCGAAGAACCUUACCUACUCUUGACAUCCACGGAAUUUGGCAGAGAUGCCUUAGUGCCUUCGGGAACCGUGAGACAGGUGCUGCAUGGCUGUCGUCAGCUCGUGUUGUGAAAUGUUGGGUUAAGUCCCGCAACGAGCGCAACCCUUAUCCUUUGUUGCCAGCGAUUCGGUCGGGAACUCAAAGGAGACUGCCGGUGAUAAACCGGAGGAAGGUGGGGAUGACGUCAAGUCAUCAUGGCCCUUACGAGUAGGGCUACACACGUGCUACAAUGGCGCAUACAAAGAGAAGCGACCUCGCGAGAGCAAGCGGACCUCACAAAGUGCGUCGUAGUCCGGAUCGGAGUCUGCAACUCGACUCCGUGAAGUCGGAAUCGCUAGUAAUCGUGGAUCAGAAUGCCACGGUGAAUACGUUCCCGGGCCUUGUACACACCGCCCGUCACACCAUGGGAGUGGGUUGCAAAAGAAGUAGGUAG
rnacentral:rRNA from 1 species